CAUUAAGAAGCUAUGGAACAGCACUAGCCUUUUAAGCUAGAGACAGAGGCACACCCGUCCUCCUUAAUGA
rnacentral:tRNA from 2 species